UACAGAGGGGGCAAGCGUUGUUCGGAAUUACUGGGCGUAAAGGGCGCGUAGGCGGCCCGUCAAGUCCCGUGUGAAAGCCCCCGGCUCAACCGGGGAACGGCGCGGGAAACUAGCAGGCUUGAGUUCGGGAGAGGGAAGCGGAAUUCCGGGUGUAGCGGUGAAAUGCGCAGAUAUCCGGAGGAACACCGGUGGCGAAGGCGGCUUCCUGGACCGACACUGAGGCGCGACAGCGUGGGGAGCAAACAGG
rnacentral:rRNA from 1 species